UACGGAGGAUCCGAGCGUUAUCCGGAUUUAUUGGGUUUAAAGGGAGCGUAGGUGGAUUGUUAAGUCAGUUGUGAAAGUUUGCGGCUCAACCGUAAAAUUGCAGUUGAAACUGGCAGUCUUGAGUACAGUAGAGGUGGGCGGAAUUCGUGGUGUAGCGGUGAAAUGCUUAGAUAUCACGAAGAACUCCGAUUGCGAAGGCAGCUCACUGGACUGCAGCUGACACUAAGGCUCGAAAGUGUGGGUAUCAAACAGG
rnacentral:rRNA from 1 species